AUGAAGCUCUCCAUGCAGUCGCUGGCCCGGAAGCUCUCCAUCCCAUCGCCCAAGCGGGGCAAGAAGCAGCACCAGGACGGCGGCGGCAGCGGCAAGCGGGGCAUCUCCCUGAGCGAGGCGCCGUCGUUCGUGUCCGCGUCGUCCUCCUACACCUCGUCGUCCACCGAGGACGCGCUGCCGAGGGCGUCGAAGCCGCGGUCGGUGCUGCCCGCGGAGAUCUUGCGGCGGGAGCUGGAGGCUGUGCUCCGGCGGCUGGGCCAUGACGAGCCGUCGGACGACGAGCUCGACGCCGUGGCGGCCUUCGCGGCCGCCGGGGAGGCCGGCCCCGAGGACGAGCUGAUGGAGGCGUUCAAUGUGUUCGACGCCGACGGCGACGAUUUCAUCGGCUUCUAG
rnacentral:rRNA from 1 species